AUGAUCUCCCAGCUCACACGCAUCACUCCCUCCUCCCCGUUCGAAAAUUCAUCUCUUUUCCCUUAUUACCAGUCUCACCACCCAUUCCCCGAUGCUUCAGUCUACCACUCGGGUCCAACGACUUUCUGAUAUUAGUUUACAUAUAUGUAGGUCAGACCGAGUAGAAUUCCUUCUAUGCUAUGGAACUUCAGUAUGUAUUCUCCUUUUAUUUUUUCAUCGGUUAUUUCCAAGACAUAAUUGAAAAGCUAAGAGUAAUAUACGAUAAAAAGUAUUGAAAAUAAUUAUCCUACACGAGGAUUAAACUAAGGACUAGUUUGACAAUUGAAGACACGAAUUAUUGAAGAAGAAGAUGAGGGACAAACGAGGCUAAUCUUUAAGGGAUCAGGUCCCUCCUUAUGUGAAUGCCUUUAGAAAAUGAAUGAAACUUAAUGAGCUUAAUAGUAGCAGGUUAUUCUAGGUCAGAUCGAGAGAAAAAGAGAGGUCAAGGAUUUUAUUCGCCGAAACUUAUCGGUACAGUUUGUUCAACCGUGUGUAAAAUUUAAAAUACACAAAUAUAUUUUUCUGAUCGAAACUUUCAACAUUCGAUCUUUGGUUAACCGAAAAGAAUGAAGAAGAAGACUCUAAAAAAAAAAAAAAAACAAUGAUUUUGAAUGUCCAAUUCGUAAGUGGAAUCUACGAACUGCGUCAUGGCUUCUAUACUACAGAGAAACGACUCACAUCCUUUUUAUUUUUUUAAAGAUCUCCGUAUAAAGAAACGUAGAUUGUUAUCAAACUCGUCGAAAUGUCGACUGACGUCAGACACGUCAUCCGCAAACAUAAUUUUCGGUGAAUGUUUGUCCUCGUAUUGUAUAGCUACUUGUAUAACUUUUUAAAUUAGGUGUUUAUAAUCUACAUCAUUGUCAAUUUUAACAUAUUUUCCAUACUGAUGUGAAAACAAUUUAAUUAUCUAAAAAAGAGAA